UCGUCAUUUUUAUCGUCCCCUUUUUACAUAUAUAUUUCAUGAGAGUGCAAUGGGAAUAUGGAAAGAUUUGAAGGUAAAACUAUGAGAACAGGUUCAAUUUGGAAAGGUUCCAUUGGAUUUUGUGAUAUUAGAGAGAAAGAGAGAUAGAUAGAUAGAGAAAGAGAGAGA